GAUGAACGCUGGCGGCGUGCCUAAUACAUGCAAGUCGAGCGAACAGACGAGGAGCUUGCUCCUCUGACGUUAGCGGCGGACGGGUGAGUAACACGUGGAUAACCUACCUAUAAGACUGGGAUAACUUCGGGAAACCGGAGCUAAUACCGGAUAAUAUAUUGAACCGCAUGGUUCAAUAGUGAAAGACGGUUUUGCUGUCACUUAUAGAUGGAUCCGCGCCGCAUUAGCUAGUUUGUAAGGUAACGGCUUACCAAGGCAACGAUGCGUAGCCGACCUGAGAGGGUGAUCGGCCACACUGGAACUGAGACACGGUCCAGACUACUACGGGAGGCAGCAGUAGGGAAUCUUCCGCAAUGGGCGAAAGCCUGACGGAGCAACGCCGCGUGAGUGAUGAAGGUCUUCGGAUCGUAAAACUCUGUUAUUAGGGAAGAACAAAUGUGUAAGUAACUAUGCACGUCUUGACGGUACCUAAUCAGAAAGCCACGGCUAACUACGUG
rnacentral:rRNA from 1 species